rnacentral:rRNA from 1 species
CGACGUAGGUAACCUGCCUGGUAGCGGGGGGUAACUAUUGGAAACGAUAGCUAAUACCGCAUAAUAGUAGAUGUUGCAUGACAUUUCUUAAAAGGUGCAAUUGCAUCACUACCAGAUGGACCUGCGUUGUAUUAGCUAGUUGGUGGGGUAACGGCUCACCAAGGCGACGAUACAUAGCCGACCUGAGAGGGUGAUCGGCCACACUGGGACUGAGACACGGCCCAG